AUGAGACUGUACUCACUGCUGCUUCUGCUCCUGGGGUCCUCACAUGGGGUAUUCGCACAGCUGCCUGAGUUAAUGGAGGAGGAAGGUAGCGGUGUGACAGAGGUGACUCCAGAGCCAGAAACUGUGGAUGACACAUACUGGUCAGGCACAGCCCCCAUCUGUAUGGGAGGUUGUAAGGGGAGACACCAGGAACUGAAGAAGGAUCGCUGUGGGGACUCUGACUGCUGCUGGUUUGGCUAUAAAUCCCUCUGCAGAGUGAACUGUGGGAGGCCUGAUGUGGACUAUAACGGGAUGGUGUACGGGAACGACUGGUGGGUGGGCUCAGUUGUCCGGUAUGCCUGUCGCUCUGGCUUCCUAUUGGUGGGGGACCCGGCCCGAGCCUGCCAGUCCAAUGGAGGCUGGACCCCCAAACCCUCCUGUCUCAGGGUGUGUCGUCAGGGCCGUGUGGAGAUCACUGAGAAGGAGCUAGAAACAGCUACCUGCUCCUCCACCUGUCCCCUUAAGUCCUACAUGGGGCCUCUUAAGCAGGGCUGCUACGGCAUCGACAACUGCAGGAAGAUGAAUCCUGACUGGAAGCGCUGGUUCACCCGCUGUGACACGUGCCUGUGUGAUUGCCACAUUGCCUGUGUAUCUUUAGGUUAA
rnacentral:lncRNA from 1 species